ensembl:lncRNA
AAAGCAGAACUGCUUAGACAGAACUCCUGUGGUGUCUGAUUGUCUCUUGCUCCCUGAGGGGCUGAGUUGGCAGACAGCAGGCUCACCUCUCCUCGGGACCCCUCAGCUUUGCUGAGGGAAGUUCCACUGCCUCUCUCUUUCUGUGGAGCGCCCCCCGCAGAAACUGGCGCCCAACGUGGGGCGCGAAGCAGACGGAUGGGGGUGGUGUCACCAUGCAACUCUGAAAGAAGGAGUGACGAAGGACCCUAGGCUGGUCGCAGCGCGGAGCUCCCCUUUAGAGGAAUAUCGCCUGAGAUCAUCAAUGCAGCAACCCUGGUGGACACUGCUCCUGGUGAUCGUCGGAUUACCUAUCCUCUCCUUGCUGACCUUCGUCAUUGCCACAGCUGUACAACAGUUUUUAGAAUCUUUGAAGCCUGGGUUUAACGACACCUAUAUCAAACCAUGAGGCCAUCAACCAUGAGGGUACAACAGUGUCAGCAUCCGUACUGGGAGUUCAACAAGCUCAGACCAUCGAGGUUAUAAACAACAUAUCCACUGCCUCUGCUCAAGGAUUUCAAACCAGCUCGAACACCUAAGAUUUGCCAUAACGGGACUCCAACAACAGCUUGAUCUCCACACCAGAGUGAUCGAGAUGUUGAGCGUCUUGGCACACAUAGACUGCGAUGUGCGAUCCCAGCUUUUGUCUGACAGCUUUUCCAGUGUUAAAUGAGACUCUAACAGAGCGCCCCCCGCACCUUUGGAGUCACAGUAAUUAAAGAACUGGAGAGCUGCCCUGCCUUGAUCUUGCUGCAGUGAUUGUCACAAGGACUUACCUGAUACCAAGUGGUUCCUUUAUUCCUAGAGGAAGAGGAUGAAGCACCCCAGCCAUGAAUGGAAUUGUGAACUGAGCCAAAACACUGGAAGACCAGGAGCUGCCACAGCGGGCUACUGGGAUAAGCUGAAACAGGAAUAAGACUGACGUAGUGAGAAGAUUUUAGCUCCAGCUGCUGUUAUCAACAGAAGGGAUUCAUAGAAUCUUACAAGACAGAAGCAGGAGAAAGAGAAACAAUUUUCAGAUAAAUCAAGCGAAAGAGUUACUACUAGUUAAAACAUGAUUGAAAACAUUUGCAAGUAUAAGCUCAUGAAUUACC